rnacentral:rRNA from 1 species
UACAGAGGUGGCGAGCGUUAUUCGGAAUUAUUGGGCGUAAAGGGCGCGUAGGCGGCCACGCAAGUCUUGGGUGAAAUCCCUCGGCUCAACCGAGGAACUGCCUUGGAAACUGCAUGGCUCGAGGCCGGGAGAGGGUAGCGGAAUUCCCAGUGUAGCGGUGAAAUGCGUAGAUAUUGGGAAGAACACCUGAGGCGAAGGCGGGUUGCUGGGCUGACACUGACGCUGAGGCGCGAAAGCCAGGGGAGCAAACGGG